rnacentral:rRNA from 1 species
CACAUGCAAGUCGAACGGUAACAGGAAGCAGCUUGCUGCUUCGCUGACGAGUGGCGGACGGGUGAGUAAUGUCUGGGAAACUGCCUGAUGGAGGGGGAUAACUACUGGAAACGGUAGCUAAUACCGCAUAACGUCGCAAGACCAAAGAGGGGGACCUUCGGGCCUCUUGCCAUCGGAUGUGCCCAGAUGGGAUUAGCUAGUAGGUGGGGUAACGGCUCACCUAGGCGACGAUCCCUAGCUGGUCUGAGAGGAUGACCAGCCACACUGGAACUGAGACACGGUCCAGACUCCUACGGGAGGCAGCAGUGGGGAAUAUUGCACAAUGGGCGCAAGCCUGAUGCAGCCAUGCCGCGUGUAUGAAGAAGGCCUUCGGGUUGUAAAGUACUUUCAGCGGGGAGGAAGGGAGUAAAGUUAAUACCUUUGCUCAUUGACGUUACCCGCAGAAGAAGCACCGGCUAACUCCGUGCCAGCAGCCGCGGUAAUACGGAGGGUGC